CGAGCGGGAGUCACAGCCAAGUGGACGAGCGGGAGUCCGCGCAACGGUCCGGAAGUCGCGGGG
rnacentral:tRNA from 1 species